GAUGAACGCUGGCGGCGUGCCUAAUACAUGCAAGUCGAGCGAACGGAUGAGGAGCUUGCUUCUCUGACGUUACCGGCGGACGGGUGAGUAACACGUGGCUAACCUACCUAUAAGACUGGGAUAACUUCGGGAAACCGAAGCUAAUACCGGUUAAUAUUUUGAACCGCAUGGUUCAACAGUGAAAGACGGUUUUGCUGUCACUUAUAGAUAGAUCCGCGCUGCAUUAGCUAGUUGGUAAGGUAACGGCUUACCAAGGCAACGAUGCGUAGCCGACCUGAGAGGGUGAUCGGCCACACUGGAACUGAGACACGGUCCAGACUCCUACGGGAGGCAGCAGUAGGGAAUCUUCCGCAAUGGGCGAAAGCCUGACGGAGCAACGCCGCGUGAGUGAUGAAGGUCUUCGGAUCGUAAAACUCUGUUAUUAGGGAAGAACAAAUGUGUAAGUAACUAUGCACGUCUUGACGGUACCUAAUCAGAAAGCCACGGCUAACUACGUG
rnacentral:rRNA from 1 species